UGUCCGUUUGGGAUUCGAAAUUUGGAUGAUAAAUCUUCGAAAGAAAUACAUUUGUUAUCAUGGAGGAGAUGGUGGAAGUGUGUUAUUCCACUUUGUUCCCACUUGCUAAAAUAGUAUUGUUGAUUUUGUCCAGUUUAUAGUAUUAUCGGAGAGUUGUGAAAAUCUCUUAUGAGAUUAAAUGCUUCUGUCAAAGAUUUUAACGGGUCUUGGAGGUAGAGUAAGACAUCAUCCGCAUACAAGUUGAUUUUGUGUUCCGAAUUUGUUGAUAGUAUACCUUUUACUUUGUGAUUUUUAUUAAUAGCAGCAGCUAAUGGCUCAGUAAAGACUGUGAAAAGUGAAGGGGAGAGAGGGCAUCCCUGUCUGGUUCCCCUAUGUAGUAUAAAGCUUUGUGUUGUGAUCCCGUUAGUGAUGACAGAUGCCUUUGAGCAUUAUAUAUCGCCUGUAUCCAAUGAAUAAAUGAUUUUCCAAAGCCAAAUUUCUCUAGAUCAGUUGUUCCCAACCUGUUCCUGGGCGGCCCCCCAACACUACACAUUUUGGAAAUCUCCCUAAUCAAACACACUUGAUUCAACUCAUUAGCUCAUUAGUAGAGACUCCACAACCUGAAUUGGGUGUGUCAGAUAAGGGAGAUGUGCAGUGUUGGGGGGCCUCCAGGAACAGGGUUGGGAACCACUUAUCUGCACUGUAAAAAGUAAAGGUGCCUCAAAAACCUUACUGUGUACUCAAGGAACUUCAAUAUAUAUUUAAAGUGCCUCAAAGAAGGGGUUGAUGGGGGAACCAUUGACCAUUUAAGAGUUAUUACAAGAACUUGUGGGUUCGAUCAAACCCUUUUCCCUUAUGAUGAGGGUUACUUGGGGAGCCAUUGACAGUUUUAGAGUUCUUGUAAGAACUUAUGGGUUUGCUUCAGCUUUAAGAUUCUUGAGUCACCUUCUUCAUUACACUGAGACCUCAGGGUGCUUUAGGAGGUGACUGGAGAAACUCAAAUUCCUUAAGGGGUUACUGUAAGAUCUGUGAACAUUUAAGUGGUUCUUCACGAUCCUCAAAGAUCCCUCACGAUCCUCAAAGAAUAAUUUAAUAUAAUAAUUUAAAAUGGAAUAAGAAUAUAAGAAUAACUUUGAAGAAGAAGAAACAAAAGAAGAAGUUAAGAUACAUCAGCUUCUGUUUUAGGCUCAAUUAAUUCUGUUUUAGCCAAUUGUAAUGCCUCUGCUAUACUAAGGAGGAUGCUGAUGGACGGGGAUUUUGCUGCAGCUGCCGUUCUCCCAUGCAAGAGAAAACCCCAAUCUGCCAGUCAUUCUUAAUGGCUGGUUGACUCGACGGCUUCACUUUCUCUUUAAUGGUUAGUGAACCUUCCAAAGUGUAUGAAUAUAUUGUCUAAACACUAUAUUAAAACCUACACAUAUAAAUAUAUAUGCUUGAUUCUAUUAUUAAUUUUAUGCUUUAAUACCGUUUUAUUCGGAUAUUCAUGAUUGAGAAGUUUUAGCCACGACGCUAACAAAACCAAUUUAAUUUGUGGGACAAAAUGACAACUAUUAAUAUAUUGACCAUGGUUUUUAGUAAUGACAACUCAUGGAAUAUCUGUGUGUUCUCAUUUAGCGAAUAUAACACUCUAAUUUAAUUUCCACAUCACCGUUUGUCUCCCAUGUUACGCUAAAUAAUUGAGUCUGUUAUGUACAAAUGGUGGUUGAUGUAGUUCUACUCAGGUUUUCCUGAUAACAUACUGCAGGUGUCCUCAUUCCUUCUAAUUAUUUUUUUUUCUCUAACGCAUUUUAUUGUCAAUAAAUGUUAUCUUUCUAUUGUUGUGACUGUAAUCAAUUUUAACAUUUUUCCUCCUCAGAACAACUAGAAGGCUACUUAUGUAGCAAAUUUUAAAGGCUCUUGGUCUUCACAGUAUAAGCACAAUAUGGACAUCUCAGAUGUCAACAUGGACCUACAGAGCUGAAAUAUUCUUUAAAAUCUUUGUUUUUGAAGAAGAAAGAAAAUCAUACACAUCUGGGAUGGCAUGAGUGGGUAAAUCCUGCACAGAACUCCACACCGACCAUGGUAAUUACUGGAGACCCAUUUGGUGCAAGCACCAUUGCAGUGUUUGUUGAUGGUCCUUGCUGAUGAACUUGAAGACAUAACUCUAGGUAUAGGCAUUAUUAUGAGUACCUACUUCCUGUUUGAUUUAUAGUACAGAUAACCAAUCAAAAGCACAUUAACUUUUCUGCAGUGUCUGUUGCGAAUUCAGGUGGAGAGCCUAAAGCUACCUAUAGCGGUUUUGCGGCUCUUUAAUUACCUCAAGUGUCCUUUCUAAAUGCUGUAUUACAAGCACACAAUUUUGUAUUCUACAUACAUAGUUGUGCUUUAUUGCCUUGUAUUGUGAUGUUAGACUUGAUUUGAGAAUAUUUACCUUUUCAGAUGUUUUU